rnacentral:rRNA from 1 species
UCGAGAAUUUUUCACAAUGGGGGAAACCCUGAUGGAGCGACGCCGCGUGGGGGAUGAAUGGCUUCGGCCCGUAAACCCCUGUCAUUUGCGAACAAAUUGGUUCACUUAAUACCUGAACCAUUGAUAGUAGCGAAAGAGGAAGGGACGGCUAACUCUGUGCCAGCAGCCGCGGUAAUACAGAGGUCCCAAGCGUUGUUCGGAUUCACUGGGCGUAAAGGGUGCGUAGGCGGUCGGGUAAGUCUGAUGUGAAAUCUCACAGCUUAACUGUGAAACUGCAUUGGAUACUAUCCGGCUUGAGAGUUGGAGGGGGGACUGGAAUUCUUGGUGUAGCAGUGAAAUGCGUAGAUAUCAAGAGGAACACCAGUGGCGAAGGCGAGUCCCUGGACAACUUCUGACGCUGAGGCACGAAAGCUAGGGGAGCAAACA